rnacentral:rRNA from 1 species
CAACAACGGAUCUCUUGGUUCCGGCAUCGAUGAAGAACGCAGCGAAAUGCGAUAAGUAAUGUGAAUUGCAGAAUUCAGUGAAUCAUCGAGUCUUUGAACGCACAUUGCGCCCCCUGGUAUUCCGGGGGGCAUGCCUGUCCGAGCGUCAUUGGAGCCCU